CGACCCCUGAACCGGUACUGUUGCCACGCUACGCCAACUGGAGCACACGUGAUGAACUGCAGUUUCAGAUGUCGACAGUGGGUCCAGAAUACUCGUCAACAAGAUCUCCUUCACCGAACUCCGGUGUACUUGUCAAACAACUGCUGUCUUUGUUCUGAACACUUUGAACUUGACCAGUUUUCCAACAAGCAGACCAAGAACAGGCUAUCACUGUUUGAAAUAUGUUGCAUUUUACAUCACUUUCAUUGGUUAGCUGAUAUGCGAAACACUGCAACCCUGUAUAUCUCGCACAUAAAAUGAUGUAAAUUAUGUAAAUAUUACCAUGAAUAACAGAAAUAAAAAGUGUUAUCCUUGUUUA